rnacentral:rRNA from 1 species
GUCUAUGGCCAUACCAUCCUGAAUGUGCCCAAAUUCCUCUGAUCUCAGAAUCUAAGUGGAGCCAGGCCAGGUUAGUACUUGGAUGGAAGAAAUAACCAGGAAUUAGUAAGAAGAGUAUGGGCUCUAUAGC